rnacentral:rRNA from 1 species
AUUGAACGCUGGCGGCAUGCCUUACACAUGCAAGUCGAACGGUAACGCGGGGCAACCUGGCGACGAGUGGCGAACGGGUGAGUAAUGCAUCGGAACGUGCCCAGUAGUGGGGGGAUAGCCCGGCGAAAGCCGGAUUAAUACCGCAUACGACCCAAGGGUGAAAGCGGGGGAUCGCAAGACCUCGCGCUAUUGGAGCGGCCGAUGUCAGAUUAGGUAGUUGGUGGGGUAAAGGCCUACCAAGCCUACGAUCUGUAGCUGGUCUGAGAGGACGACCAGCCACACUGGGACUGAGACACGGCCCAGACUCCUACGGGAGGCAGCAGUGGGGAAUUUUGGACAAUGGGCGCAAGCCUGAUCCAGCCAUGCCGCGUGCGGGAAGAAGGCC